rnacentral:lncRNA from 1 species
CUGAGUUGAAUAAAGAAGAUAUAAAACGGCAGAAGCAAACUGCAAUUUAUAUAAUUAUAUAUACACCCACAGAAAGUCGAGGCAAGGAGAAUUGGACUACAAAAGUUGGUGGGUGUUGAGGAUAUAUCCACAAACAUACACAGACAGAUUUUUGACGAUAAAAGGUUGUUGUUGCUGGAAAAAAUACAAAGGCGGCUGCUGUUGAAUAAAUAUCCAUAUACAUACGAGUUGCAACAGGAAUUGAGAGACAUACAUUCAUGAAAAAGGUGGCUGAACACAUAUAUAUACAUGCAACUGAAGGCCAGAAAUUGAAGACAAAAGGCAGCCAAGGAAUACAUAUAAAUACACGCGGAAGUAAAAGCGGACUGAAGGAAUUUGGAUAUUAAUCACGUUUGCUCCAUUUGUGGUGAUAUCUUCUAUCUUCUAUCUUUUUUUUUUGUUUAAUUCCGUCGUUAUGCUAGACUAAAUUAUUUUGUGCUAGGAUUUACGAUGAACCUUGUAUUAUGAAUCUUUAAUCUUGAAUUUUAUUUAUUUUGACGUUAAAACAUGUUUUUAAUUAUUGAAUAAUUGGCAUAGAUUUUAUUUUCUCUACAAUUAUAUGCGGAG